GCUAAUACUGAAAACAUUUAGAGUAUUAAAUACUGUCUCCUUGUUCACUGAGGCACUUUUCUUUCUCAGUCACGUGGAAGCAGUUCUUUCAUAGAACUCUCCCCAGACUAGAGAAAGAUCCUUAGAGCUGAAGGGAGGAGUUUAACAAUCAAGACGCUCGUGUGGGUUUCCUACCCCCUCCUCUUUCACUUGAGGUGAUUCUAAACUAUUGGGGACAAAGUAGAAUCCCCCGAUAACUUUAGGGAUCUGCAACUGGGUAAAAUCUGUGCUCCCAAGGUGCUACGUGUCUUCUUGGCAGAAGAGGAUAUAAAUGAAAUGGCUAAAUGGAUUCUCCGUGCACCAAAACUUACAGUCUAGAUGGAUGGUUUUUCUAGAUGAUGUUGGCAUAGCUUGUAAGCUGAAACAAUUCAAGGAGACUUGCAACAGUAUAUGUGGCAUGGAUCAUAUGAUGAAAUCACAUGAGAAUUGGACCCCUCACAUGAUGCCAUUGUGAGGAUUUAAUUCCAGAACUAGAUUGUAGGAUACGCCUUAGUGGAUGUCACUAUAGGCAGAUGGUAAUGGAGGACAAGAUGCCACCAUCUCCCAGGUCACCUGUCACCAAAAUUACCUUGGUAUUUAGACACAAUACCAGGAAGAAAAGGAAAGGAACACCACUUUCCAAUCUCAGACGGCUACUAACCAAAACCUCAUUAUUCCUUCAAAGAUGGCUUGUCUCACUCUCCUUCAAGUUUUCUUCUGGUACCUGCACUGAGCAUCAGGAAUCUGCUUUUGUUUGAAGACAAGAAAUUGAUGUCUUCAGUCCAUUUUUUGGCUGACUUCACUGUCCUUACUCAUUGGGUCAGCUAGACACACUCCUGUAUCCAUGUUUACACAAGGUUUCAAGAACUCAUCUCUGAGCAGCAUUCAUCAUUUCCUGGAAGAAGGAAUGGAUAAUGUUUAAGGAUAAAAAUAAUGAAAUCAUGAUGGGAGCUGGAUUACUUUAAUGAAGGAAAACAAAAAUAUCUCCAUAAGAGAGAUCUUAAUAUUUUUUCGUUUGUUUCUGUUUCUAUGACAUUCAGGAAAUAUUAGUAUCACAGCCACUUCCUAGUGAUAAUUACCC
rnacentral:lncRNA from 1 species